AUUGAACGCUGGCGGCAGGCCUAACACAUGCAAGUCGAGCGGAUGAAGGGAGCUUGCUCCUGGAUUCAGCGGCGGACGGGUGAGUAAUGCCUAGGAAUCUGCCUGGUAGUGGGGGAUAACGUCCGGAAACGGGCGCUAAUACCGCAUACGUCCUGAGGGAGAAAGUGGGGGAUCUUCGGACCUCACGCUAUCUGAUGAGCCUAGGUCGGAUUAGCUAGUUGGUGGGGUAAAGGCCUACCAAGGCGACGAUCCGUAACUGGUCUGAGAGGAUGAUCAGUCACACUGGAACUGAGACACGGUCCAGACUCCUACGGGAGGCAGCAGUGGGGAAUAUUGGACAAUGGGCGAAAGCCUGAUCCAGCAAUGCCGCGUGUGUGAAGAAGGUCUUCGGAUUAUAAAGCACUUUAAGUUGGGAGGAAGGGCAGUAAGUUAAUACCUUGCUGUUUUGACGUUACCAACAGAAUAAGCACCGGCUAACUUCGUG
rnacentral:rRNA from 1 species